CACGUAGGGGGCGAGCGUUGUCCGGAAUCAUUGGGCGUAAAGAGCUCGUAGGCGGCUCAGUAAGUCGGGUGUGAAACCCCCAGGCUCAACCUGGGGACGCCACCCGAUACUGCUGUGGCUAGAGUCCAGUAGGGGAGUGUGGAAUUCCCGGUGUAGCGGUGAAAUGCGCAGAUAUCAGGAGGAACACCGGUGGCGAAGGCGGAUCUCUGGGCCUUACCUGACGCUCAGGCGCGAAAGCUAGGGGAGCGAACAGG
rnacentral:rRNA from 1 species